ensembl:lncRNA
CCGCCAGCCCAGCACCACUGCACAGGAUGGUCGAAUCUACACCGGUGUUGGCAGACAAGAUGGUUGACUCAACGCGUCAGCCGUUCCUCAAAGCCCGGAGGACGUUCCCGAGCAGGCCGCUGCCGUCCAGGAGGACGUUCCCGAGCAGGCCGCUGCCGUCCAGGAGGACGUUCCCGAGCAGGCCGCUGCCGUCCAGGAGGACGUUCCCGAGCAGGCCGCUGCCGUCCAGGAGGACGUGUCCAAGGUUCCCGAAGCGGUGCCCGAUGUGGUUCUGGAGGUCGAGGCGGUGGCCGAUGCCGUUCCGCAGGUCGAGGCGGUGCCCGAUGUUGUUCCAGAGACCGAGGUGGUGCCCGAGUUGGUUCCAGAGACCGAGGCGGUGCCCGAUGCGCAGGCCGAGGUCGUUCCUGAGGUGGUGCCCGAUGCAGAGGCCGUUCCCGAGGCGGGGUCCUUGUCCAAUGCCGUUCCUGAGGCCGUUCCUGAGGCCGUUCCUGAGGCCAUUCCCGAGGCGGUGCCCGAUGCUGUUCCGGAGGCCGAUGCGGGGCCCGAGAUGGUUCCGGAGGCGAUACCCGUGUCCAAGGCCGUUCCCGAGGCGGUGCCCUUGUCUGAGGCCGUUCCCAAUGCCGUGACCUGGCCAUCGCCACAGCCUGCUCCUUACUGGCUCCCCGAUUGGCAGGUUCCGUUCGGGCCACUUAAAUGGCGAAUUCCUCCCUGGCCGUCGGCACAACGAGAAUGGACUGAUCCACCGUGGCCACCUGAACUGCCUGGCCCCUCGUGGUCCCCUGAACUUUCGGGUCCACCGUGGCCACCUGAACUGCCUGGUCCCUCGUGGUCCCCUGAACUUUCGGGUCCACCAUGGCCCCCUGAUCUGACCAAGCCACCUGGGCUACCAGGGGAGCCAUCGCUGCCGGUCCCAGUUCCCCUACACGGGCCUGGCCCGCCAUCCCUCCCCCUGUUCUGCCUCCACCAGUCCACCUCCCUCCUGGUCUCUUUGUUUUGUGUUUAUUGUGUUCUGAGGAGCAUCUGGAAGCUGCUCCUUAGAGGGGGGGUAGUGUCACGGUGUCUGUUCUGUGUCUCCCUGGGUGGCCACUAGAGGUCUCACUUCCCCUGAUUGUCACCUUCUUCAGAACUACAUUUCCCACUAGCCUUAUCUGUUCAUCACUGUUCAUUGUGUUCAGCUGUCACCACUUACCUUGUUUGCACCUGUCUAUAAAUACCCUGGUUGUUUCUGUCAUUGUUACGGAG